rnacentral:rRNA from 1 species
GACGAACGCUGGCGGCGUGCCUAACACAUGCAAGUCGAACGGGGUUGACCUUCGGGUUCACUUAGUGGCGAACGGGUGAGUAACGCGUGGGAAACCGGCCUCUAAGUGGGGUACAACAGUUGGAAACGACUGCUAAUACCGCAUAACACUUUAGUACAUCAUGGUACAGAAGUCAACGCUGUAUGUGCUGAGAGAUUGUGUCGCGUCUGAGUAGCUAGUUGGCGGGGUAACGGCCCACCAAGGCGACGAUCACUAGCCGGUCUGAGAGGAUGAACGGCCAGAUUGGGACUGAGAUACGGCCCAGAGUCCUACGGGAGGCAGCAGUGGGGAAUAUUGGGCAAUGGGGGAAACCCUGACCCAGCAACGCCGCGUGAAGGAAGAAGGCCUUCGGGUUGUAAACUUCUUUUACCAGGGACGAAGAAAGUGACGGUACCUGGAUAAACAGCCACGGCUAACUACGUGCCAGCCGCCGCUGUAAAAC